rnacentral:rRNA from 1 species
AUUGAGCGCUGGCGGCAGGCUUAACACAUGCAAGUCGAGCGGGGGAAGGUAGCUUGCUACCGGACCUAGCGGCGGACGGGUGAGUAAUGCUUAGGAAUCUGCCUAUUAGUGGGGGACAACAUCUCGAAAGGGAUGCUAAUACCGCAUACGUCCUACGGGAGAAAGCAGGGGAUCUUCGGACCUUGCGCUAAUAGAUGAGCCUAAGUCGGAUUAGCUAGUUGGUGGGGUAAAGGCCUACCAAGGCGACGAUCUGUAGCGGGUCUGAGAGGAUGAUCAGCCACACUGGGACGGAGACACGGCCCAGAAUCCUACGGGAGGCAGCAGUGGGGAAUAUUGGACAAUGGGGGGAACCCUGAUCCAGCCAUGCCGCGUGUGUGAAGAAGGCCUUAUGGUUGUAAAGCACUUUAAGCGAGGAGGAGGCUACUCUAGUUAAUACCUAGGGAUAGUGGACGUUACUCGCAGAAUAAGCACCGGCUAACUCUGUGCCAGCAGCCGCCGUAA